UUUUCUCCUGGAAAACGGGUGGUAAUGCCGGAUGCUCCAGUUGAUCGCAUGGUCUUCUGGGAAAGCUUUCGCGGUAUGGGAUGGGGUCGCGUCCUAUCAGCUUGACGGCGGGGUAACGGCCCACCGUGGCUUCGACGGGUAGCCGGCCUGAGAGGGCGACCGGCCACAUUGGGACUGAGAUACGGCCCAGACUCCUACGGGAGGCAGCAGUGGGGAAUAUUGCACAAUGGGCGCAAGCCUGAUGCAGCGACGCCGCGUGAGGGAUGGAGGCCUUCGGGUUGUAAACCUCUUUUAUCGGGGAGCAAGCGAGAGUGAGUUUACCCGUUGAAUAAGCACCGGCUAACUACGUGCCAGCAGCCGCGGUAAUACGUAGGGUGCAAGCGUUAUCCGGAAUUAUUGGGCGUAAAGGGCUCGUAGGCGGUUCGUCGCGUCCGGUGUGAAAGUCCAUCGCUUAACGGUGGAUCCGCGCCGGGUACGGGCGGGCUUGAGUGCGGUAGGGGAGACUGGAAUUCCCGGUGUAACGGUGGAAUGUGUAGAUAUCGGAAAGAACACC
rnacentral:rRNA from 1 species